GACGAACGCUGGCGGCGUGCUUAACACAUGCAAGUCGAGCGGAGCGGCGAACGGGCGAGUAACGCGUGAGUAACUGCCCCCCUCCCUGGGAUAACAGUUGGAAACGGCUGCUAAUACCGGAUAGUGGGGGAUGACUCGCGUCCUAACAGCUUGUUGGUGGGGUAGUGGCCUACCAAGGCGACGACGGGUAGCCGGCCUGAGAGGGCGACCGGCCACAGAGGGGUGGGAAACGGGCAGAGCGCAAACGGGCGGCAGGGGUGGGGAAUAGUGCGCGCUGGGGGAAGCCCGUAUUGAGCAAUGCGGGUGGGGGAUGACGGCCUUCGGGUUGUAAACCGCUUUCAGCCAUGACGCGGUAGUGGCAGAGGAAGCACCGGCUAACUACGUGCCAGCCGCCGCGGUAAUAC
rnacentral:rRNA from 1 species